rnacentral:rRNA from 1 species
UACGGGGGGGGCAAGCGUUGUUCGGAAUUACUGGGCGUAAAGAGCUCGUAGGUGGUUUGUCGCGUUGUUCGUGAAAACUCACAGCUUAACUGUGGGCGUGCGGGCGAUACGGGCAGACUGGAGUACUGCAGGGGAGACUGGAAUUCCUGGUGUAGCGGUGGAAUGCGCAGAUAUCAGGAGGAACACCGGUGGCGAAGGCGGGUCUCUGGGCAGUAACUGACGCUGAGGAGUGAAAGCGUGGGGAGCGAACAGG